rnacentral:rRNA from 1 species
AUAUCAAUAAGCGGAGGAAAAGAAACUAACAAGGAUUCCCCUAGUAACUGCGAGUGAAGAGGGAAAAGCUCAAAUUUAAAAUCUGGCUGUUGUAUGGCAGUCCGAGUUGUAAUUUAGAGAAGCGUUACCCACGUUAGCCCGUGUACAAGUCUCCUGGAAUGGAGCGUCAUAGAGGGUGAGAAUCCCGUCUUUGACACGGAUCACUAGUGUUUUGUGGUAUGCUCUCGAAGAGUCGAGUUGUUUGGGAAUGCAGCUCUAAAUGGGUGGUAAAUUCCAUCUAAAGCUAAAUAUUGGGGAGAGACCGAUAGCGAACAAGUACCGUGAGGGAAAGAUGAAAAGAACUUUGGAAAGAGAGUUAAACAGUACGUGAAAUUGCUGAAAGGGAAACGCUUGAAGUCAGUCGCGUUGUUCAGGGAUCAGCCUUCCUUUUGGUUGGUGUACUUUCUGUUCAAUGGGUCAGCAUCAGUUUUGACCAGUGGAUAAUAGCUUGAGGAAUGUGGCAUCUUCGGGUGUGUUAUAGCCUCUUGUUGUAUACAUUGGUUGGGACUGAGGAACUCAGCACGCCGCAAGGCCGGGUUUUUAACCAC